ACGUCCCUGCCCUUUGUACACACCGCCCGUCGCUACUACCGAUUGAAUGGCUUAGUGAGGCCCUCGAAUUGAGGUUCGGAGACUGGCAACAGAUUCUGUUCUUUGAGAAGUUGGUCAAACUUGGUCAUUUAGAGGAAGUAAAAGUCGUAACAAGGUUUCCGUAGGUGAACCUGCGGAAGGAUCAUUACCAAUUUUAGCGAGCCUGGUCUUACGUCCAUGGUCUCGUGAAAUUUAUUGUAUUUAAAACCCCACUCUUCUAUAAUAAAAUAAUAUGUGUCAUGAUAAAAAUUAAAGAUCACUUUCAACAACGGAUCUCUUGGUUCUCGCAUCGAUGAAGAACGUAGCGAAGUGCGAUAAGUAGUGUGAAUUGCAGAAUUCCGUGAAUCAUCGAAUCUUUGAACGCAAAUUGCACUCCCUGGUAUUCCGGGGAGUAUGCCUGUUUGAGGGUCAGUUUAAUAAAAAUCGAUGUGUUGCUUUUUUGUAUCACCUCGGAAUUGGGUUUUCUUAGCCUUUGGGUUAAGAGACUUAAAAUUGAUUUUUUUUGUGCAUUUUUAUAGACGUACAUAAGAUAUUUUUUUUAUUCGCCUUGGAAUGCCAAAUUUAUUAGGUAUGAUCAUGUUGUGUGGUUUCGUACCUAUAAGUUUCAUCAUCUGACCUCAAAUCAGGUAGGGACACCCGCUGAACUUAAGCAUAUCAAUAAGCGGAGGAAAAGAAAAUAACAAUGAUUCCCCUAGUAACUGCGAGUGAAGAGGGACAAGCUCAAAUUUUAAAUCUGUUAGGUUUCACCUGGCCGAGUUGUAAUUUGAAGAAGCGUUUUCUGCGUCCUUGGUCAGCCCAAGUCCUAUUGAAUGAGGCAUCAUGGAGGGUGAUAAUCCCGUCCGGUUGAUCAAUGCGUUUUACGAUACGCUCUCAAAGAGUCAAGUUGUUUGGGAUUGCAGCUUAAAAUGGGAGGUAAAUUUCUCCUAAGGCUAAAUAUUGGCGAGAGGCCGAUAGCGAACAAGUACCGUGAGGGAAAGAUGAAAAGAACUUUGAAAAGAGAGUAAAAUAGUGCGUGAAAUUGUUGAAAGGGAAACGAUUGAAGUCAGUCAUGCUAGUGAGGAAUCAACCGGAUGGUGCGUGGGUUCUCCCUCGUACUUUCCGGUGCACUUUCUCACCCGGCAGGUUAGCAUCAAUUUCGGUUAUCAUAAAAAAUUUGAGAGGAUGUGGCUUUCCUUCGGGAAAGUGUUAUAGAUCUCGAUCUAUGUGGUGACCGGGAUUGAGGAUUGCAGCGGAUACCCUCGUGGCUCGUCACCUGGCUUCUGACGGUUACCCCGCUUUCGAUAGCUCGCUAACGUUAGUGGGACUCGAUUGUCUAGAUGUCAGAGUGAUUGAUUUUCGCUAAGGAUGCUGACGUAAUGGCUUUAAACGACCCGUCUUGAAACACGG
rnacentral:rRNA from 1 species